rnacentral:RNase_P_RNA from 1 species
ACAGUUCGGCAACCGCUGGGAGACCAGAGGAAAGUCCAUGCUCGCACAUCCUGUGACGGAUGUAGUGUUUGUGCUAAGCGAAACGAUAAGCUUAGGCAGGCUUAUGCCUGACGGCUGGUCAGCUUCCUAAGGGAAACUAUGGAAGCGCCUGUAAAAGUGCCAAAGAGACGAGACUUACGGAAACGUAAGGAGUGGAACGUGGUAAACCCCGCAAGCGAGAAACCCAAAUUUGGUAGGGGAACCCUGAAAGACGAACCGAAGUCGGACGGGGGCAUAGCAAUAUGCAGAUAAAUGGUUGCCACCUUUUUAAGGUACAGAACAUGGCUUAUGAAC